UCAUCAUUUUGACCAGGCGGGUCUCGAACUCCUGACCUCAGGUGAUCCACCAGCCAUGGCCCCCAAAGUGCUGGGAUUGCAGGCGUGAGCCACUGUGCCCGGCCCCACGGAUUCUUUGAGAAUCUUCUACGAGCCAAGCAGCUCUUCAUUCACCCAUUGCACAGACGUGGAGACUGAGAUUCAGAGAGAUAUGAGACUUGUCUGCCGUCAUAUGAGCUUGCUGCAGUGGGAGCCAGGUUUCAACCCAGCUGAGUCUCUCCCCUCUGCCUCUCUGCUUUCCAGCUCAUCUCCCAGUUGAGAAGGGGAGCAAAAUCUCCGGUUUUGCCCUCCCUUCACCCUAGUGUAGGCCAGGCUGACCCCCAGUGACCCCAGACAGGGCCUGAGGCACCAUCUCCCUGGGAGGUCUUGGCCAGGGGGCCACAGGAGGGGGAUCAUACAGUCUCCUGAGGUGGAUAGGCCCACCUUUGGCCCUGCCCACAUUUUCCUGGGACCACCCACCCUGACCCCCAGCUCCUAAAUGACCCAACCCACUGCCUUCCUUUCAGCCACCACUGAGUCCCUAAACUCUCUCAGAAUGGACCUGGGUGCCUCUUUGCUUUUGCCUUCAUCCCACCUGAGAUACAGUGAGAGAGACAGAGACACUGGGAGACAUGGGGAGACAGGGCAGAGACAGAAACACACACACAGGGACACAUUUAUAUACCAACAGGGAGAGACCAGGAGAGUGACAGAGAUUUGGCAAGUCCCUUCGCAAUGCUCCAAACCUCAUGGACCCAAUCAGGGCCACUGCCAGCCCAUUGUCCCUUUUGAACAAGUUAGGAAAGGCACCCUCCGGGGGGAUGCUACCCCUCCCAGGGCCUGGUGAGUGAGUGUGAUGGGCUGGGC
rnacentral:lncRNA from 1 species